UGGGGGGAUAUUGCACAAUGGGGGGGAACCCGUGAUGCAGCGACGCCGCGUGGGUGAAGAAGCGCCUCGGCGCGUAAAGCCCUGUCAGCAGGGAAGAAAAUGACGGUACCUGAAGAAGAAGCCCCGGCUAACUACGUGCC
rnacentral:rRNA from 1 species